GGCGAACGCUGGCGGCGUGCCUAAUACAUGCAAGUCGAACGAAGCUGUUUUAACUGGUGCUUGCACCGACUUAAACAACUGAGUGGCGAACGGGUGAGUAACACGUGGGUAACCUGCCCCAAAGCGGGGGAUAACAUUUGGAAACAGAUGCUAAUACCGCAUAACCACAGAAACCACAUGGUUUCUGUGUCAAAGAUGGUUUCGGCUAUCACUUUGGGAUGGACCCGCGGCGUAUUAGCUAGUUGGUAAGGUAAUGGCUUACCAAGGCAAUGAUACGUAGCCGAACUGAGAGGUUGAUCGGCCACAUUGGGACUGGGACACGGCCCAAACUCCUACGGGAGGCAGCAGUAGGGAAUCUUCCACAAUGGACGAAAGUCUGAUGGAGCAACGCCGCGUGAGUGAAGAAGGUUUUCGGAUCGUAAAACUCUGUUGUCAGAGAAGAACGUGUGCGAGAGUAACUGCUCGUGCAGUGACGGUAUCUGGCCAGAAAGCCACGGCUAACUACGUGCCAGCCGCCGCCGCGG
rnacentral:rRNA from 1 species